GUAAAAAGCUAAAUGUCACCCCGUUCAAGAGGAAAGCUGUGGAAAGUCAAGCACGACCAAUGAUCACUUAUUUAGUUCUAUUCAUUGUCUUUUAUCGUGAUUUUCAAUUUUUCGUUUGCAAUUUUUUUAUAUUUUCUUGUGUUACUUAACUGAAUUAUUUCUUUUCUUUGCAGGAACUUUUGGUUAUUUCCACCCUUGAAGUUGAUUGCAGAAUUUUAGCUUAGGGGUCAUCGCUUGAUUUUACUGCAAAUUAGGGAAGUUUUCAGUCCAAUUGU
rnacentral:lncRNA from 1 species